ACAUUUCCUCUUUUUGUGACAAACUACAGUAUAUAAGAUCACACAAGCGUCAGCCUAACAAACUUGCUUAGAGCACUGAUCCAGAGUCAGAUUUGGCGCCUUUCAGCUCGUGAAGAUGUGUCCGACUCUCUCCAUCAGCCGCUGGAUUUUCCUGCUCUGUCUGCCUGUCGUGAUGCUCGUCUCUGUGCAGAAAGCCCAUUCCUCACCUCAAAGUGUGGGUUUGAAGUGCUGCCACAAGGUCAUCACCCAGGAAGUAAAGACAAUCCAAAGUUGCUUUGAACAAAAACCACGCUAUGGCUGCAGGCAACACGCCUUCCUGAUCAUCAACAAGCGGCAUAAAAAUAACAUAUGGUGCAUUGAUCCAAAUUCUGAGUGGCUCAAAGACAAAAUAGAGAAGGGAGAACUGAAAUGUCCUCCAGUGAUAAGUGUAUGAAGCAACAAUGAGACCACAAAAACAUCAGAGCAAAGAAGCUGCUGACAACAUUUUUUACUUAUUUAAUUGUAAUUCCUUUUACAUAUCUAUUUAUUUAUUAUGUAAGUUAUUAUUUAAGCCUUUAAGCCAUCAACAUCAUUCCUAAUUUGUUGUAGAUGACAGUAAUAAAAGUUGUUCUUUGUGACUCUAAAUAAAUAUGGAUCAUG
ensembl:lncRNA